rnacentral:rRNA from 1 species
CAUGCAAGUCGAACGGCAGCACGGGAGCAAUCCUGGUGGCGAGUGGCGAACGGGUGAGUAAUAUAUCGGAACGUGCCCAGUCGUGGGGGAUAACGCAGCGAAAGCUGUGCUAAUACCGCAUACGAUCUCUGGAUGAAAGCGGGGGACCUUCGGGCCUCGCGCGAUUGGAGCGGCCGAUAUCAGAUUAGCUAGUUGGUGGGGUAAAAGCCCACCAAGGCGACGAUCUGUAGCUGGUCUGAGAGGACGACCAGCCACACUGGAACUGAGACACGGUCCAGACUCCUACGGGAGGCAGCAGUGGGGAAUUUUGGACAAUGGGCGCAAGCCUGAUCCAGCAAUGCCGCGUGCAGGAUGAAGGCCUUCGGGUUGUAAACUGCUUUUGUACGGAACGAAACGGUCUCUUCGAAUAAAGGGGGCUAAUGACGGUACCGUAAGAAUAAGCACCGGCUAACUUCGUGCCAGCAGCCGCGGUAAUACGAAGGGGGCUAGCGUUGUUCGGAAUUACUGGGCGUAAAGCGCACGUAGGCGGAUAUUUAAGUCAGGGGUGAAAUCCCAGAGCUCAACUCUGGAACUGCCUUUGAUACUGGGUAUCUUGAGUAUGGAAGAGGUAAGUGGAAUUGCGAGUGUAGAGGUGAAAUUCGUAGAUAUUCGCAGGAACACCAGUGGCGAAGGCGGCUUACUGGUCCAUUACUGACGCUGAGGUGCGAAAGCGUGGGGAGCAAACAGGAUUAGAUACCCUGGUAGUCCACGCCGUAAACGAUGAUAACUAGCUGUCGGGGUUCAUAGAACUUCGGUGGCGCAGCUAACGCAUUAAGUUAUCCGCCUGGGGAGUACGGCCGCAAGGUUAAAACUCAAAUGAAUUGACGGGGGCCUGCACAAGCGGUGGAGCAUGUGGUUUAAUUCGAAGCAACGCGCAGAACCUUACCAGCGUUUGACAUGCCUAGUAUAUUUUCCAGAGAUGGAUUAUUUCAGUUCGGCUGGCUAGUGCACAGGUGCUGCAUGGCUGUCGUCAGCUCGUGUCGUGAGAUGCUGGGUUAAGUCCCGCAACGAGCGCAACCCUCGUCUUUAGUUGCCAUCAUUUAGUUGGGCACUCUAAAGAAACCGCCGGUGAUAAGCCGGAGGAAGGUGGGGAUGACGUCAAGUCCUCAUGGCCCUUACGCGCUGGGCUACACACGUGCUACAAUGGCGGUGACAGUGGGCAGCAAUCCCGCAAGGGUGAGCUAAUCUCCAAAAGCCGUCUCAGUUCGGAUUGUUCUCUGCAACUCGAGAGCAUGAAGGCGGAAUCGCUAGUAAUCGCGGAUCAGCAUGCCGCGGUGAAUACGUUCCCAGGCCUUGUACACACCGCCCGUCACGCCAUGGGAGUUGGAUUCACCCGAAGGCGCUGCGCUAACCCGCAAGGGAGGCAGGCGACCACGUGUAG